CACAUUUUUUAUCAUUUUAUAAGUAAAUGUUUCUCACACGAAGGCACCAAUUUCAUAAGAAAACUUUCUCUCACAAAUGCACAAGAAUGGAUUCUUUUUUCUUAUCUGAACUACCUACACGGGAAAGCCAAAGAUAAGUUCUUUUUGUCUCGCUUAAACAAAUUAAUACACAACCUCGGAAGAAUACAAUUGGAAAUAAUACAACCCAAACCUCUCCUUUUUUCUUGGUUUUCUGGUUUUUUCAAUAAACAUCAAAGUGUUUGCUACAAUUAACAUAUUUUUUACCUUCUCGAACAUACUUACAAUACAUGACCUUCUUCCACACAGCAUUGGAAUUUUUGUAUUACAAUUAACAUACUUGACCUUCUCAAACAUAAGAUUUUGACCUUUUGCACACAAAAAAAUUAAAAGCGGAAAAUUUGUAAAUAUGUUUUGUUACAAUUAACAUACUUGAUGUUCUCCAGAAAUGUAAAAUAUGUUCGGAAAACAUCGAUUGAUUCACCCCCAAAACAGAUGGAGGAAAACUCUAGAAAACCUACAAGCCAAAAAAUUACAAUAUGUUCGGUUCGGAAACCCCAAUCCGUACUACAGCUAGUCGCAUGGAGCACCCCGAAUCUUGACUACAGGUUGCAGGCAUCAGCACGGUAGCUACAGAGGCAGAUUACGGACGCGGUGACAGAGGGCUGUUGGAUGGCAUACAAGGCGGAAGAGGAUGUUUAUGCCUCUAGCUCCCGCCAGACAGGACGUCGCGUUGACUGUCGUGCAAAAGCUCGGCCUCCUCGUGCCAUCUUGGUAAUACAUGAACCUGCGUGGCAAUUAUAUUUGAACUUCUCUGAACCUGCAUAGAUUUG
rnacentral:lncRNA from 1 species